CUUCCCUGGAGCUCCAAUCAGUGCCCACAGCGCAGGGCGGGAUGAGGCCAGGGCCCCCGGCAGCCGCACCGCAGCUUUGGCUGAGGAGAGGAGCCAGCAGUGCAGCUUUGUGACAAUCCUCUGGCGUGCUGGAUGGGGCUCCGGGCAGGGCCGCGCUUCCCUGGGGUUUCUAGCUCCCGGGAGCCCCGAUGCCUGGGUUCGAGCCCCUGGGUUCAGAGCCCCUCGCGGCCUUUGCGCCGCUGCCCAGGUGGCUGCCCUUCAUGCUGACGUUCCAGCUAUACCCUUCAGUACCGAGGACGCUGCCUUUCCAAACUAUAAAACCCACAUACAUACGAACACGGAAGCGCCCAUGCUGCUGCAGAAAGCGGAAUAGCACAACUUGUACAGAGCUUUCUCAAUCCCUUCGCCCUGCAACCACUGUUCCGUUCAACGUUGUUAGAGUUCUUUCCAGCUGAGCUGUUAAGUUGAAGUGACUUCUCAAGAGGACAGCCUGAGAUCUGGAGAAAUCCCCUGCAGCUGUGAGAGUAUGGACGACAGGAAGGCAAAACCAAGACAGUGCCCACAGACCUCGUAUACGAGAAGCUACCCUUGUCACUUGGCCAUGGCUCCAAGCCUCUGGAGAACUCAAGAAAAAAAAAAGAUUAUUUAAAUAAUACCUGAAAAUAAACAUCAUCUAGGACGUCUGUCUUCCCCUGCUUUUGCAAGAGGGUCUUCACUUCAGACGUGCUACUGGUCUGGAUGGACGACGCUCUCUUUGUGUUAUCAGAAGAUUUAAUAUCAAGAAUAUGAAUUUUCCUAGUCAGGAUGCAAAAAAGACCAUUGACUCAGUGGAGAUCUGGAGGCUCAGAACAGGAAAGGACCUACCAGAAUGGAAUGUAUCUUCAUCUGCAAAGAUUAUGUGCCAGACUGCAUAUAUAGGUCUUAAAAAAACAAGAGGAAACACACUAAAGUGUUUUCAGGCUGGAGACUCCCUGCUACAGCAACAAACCCUCAAGAGUUUUUAUUUACUGUUAGAGAGCAACAUUGCUUCUACAGGGGCAAGAAGCAUGAGUUUUACUUUUGCAUUUGAGACAGCCGAAGACACUUGA
rnacentral:lncRNA from 1 species